rnacentral:tRNA from 1 species
GCCUGUCUGGCUCAGUCGGAGGAGCGUGUGGCUCUUGAUCUCGAGGUCGUGAGUUCAAUCCUCAUGUUGGAUG